rnacentral:rRNA from 1 species
CCUGCCAGUAGUCAUAUGCUUGUCUCAAAGAUUAAGCCAUGCAUGUCUAAGUAUAAGCAACCAAAAUGCGAGACGGCGGACGGCUCAUUAAAUCAGUCAUAGUUCACGCGAAAGACUAAACUAAUCGGAUAACUGUAGUAAUUCUAGAGCUAAUACGUGCACCAAUGCCUUCUCGCAAGAGAGGGGUAUUCUUCAGAUACAAACCUACCGUAGCAAUACGGCCCAGGUGGAAACAUGAUGACUGAUCAAAUCGCACAGCCUUGAGCUGGCGAUAUUUCGUUCAAAUAUCUGCCCUAUCAACUUUCGAUGGUAGUGUAGUGGACUACCAUGGUGACAACGGGUAACGGGGAAUUAGGGUUCGGUUCCGGAGAGGGGGCCUGAGAGAUGGCCACCACUUCCAAGGAAGGCAGCAGGCGCGCAAAUUACCCAAUAAUACCACAUUGAGGUAGUGACAAUAAAUAACAAUACAGGCCUUUCAAAAGGGCUUGUAAUUGGAAUGAGUAUAAUUUAAAUCCUUUUGCGAGGAACAAUUGGAGGACAAGUCAGGUGCCAGCACCCGCGGUAAUUCCUGCUCCAAUAGCGUAUAUUAAAGUUGUUGCAGUUAAAAAGCUCGUAGUCGGAUUCUGGGAGUGGAUGAACCGGUCUUGUGCAAACUUGCACUGGGUCGAAGCUCUCGAUAUUCCUGGGCGCUCCGUCUUGCUCUUAACUGAGUGGGGCGGUUGUCCAGGAUGUUUACUUUGAAGAAAUUAGAGUGUUCAAAGCAGGCACAAUUGGCAUGAAUAGAUUAGCAUGGGAUAAUGAAAUAGGACUUCGACUUAUUUUGUAGGUUAUUGAGUGGGGGUAAUGAUCAAUAGGAAUUGUUGGGGAUAUUCAUAUUUAGCGGCUAGAGGUGAAAUUCUUGGAUUCGCUAAAGAUGAACUUCUGCGAAAGCAUUUAUCAAGGAUGUUUUCAUUGAUCAAGAACGAAAGUUAGGGGAUCGAAGACGAUCAGAUACCGUCGUAGUCUUAAAGCACUUUUUGAGAAAUCAUAAGUCUUUGGGUUCUGGGGGGAGUAUGGUCGCAAGUCUGAAACUUAAAGGAAUUGACGGAAGGGCACACCAGGAGUGGAGCCUGCGGCUUAAUUUGACCCAACACGGGGAAACUUACCAGGUCCAGACACAUGAAGGAUUGACAGAUUGAGAGCUCUUUCUUGAUUCUGUGGGUGGUGGUGCAUGGCCGUUCUUAGUGCGUGGGGUAACUCGGCUGGUCAAUUCCGUUAACGAACGAGACCUCCGCCUAUUAAAUAGAUUGACUGAUAACCUAGACGGGUGAAGUUGCUUGACGGGGUGGUGGCUUGCCAUUGCCUCUCUUGUGAUGGAUCUCUGGUCUAUUGAGCAAACUUCUUAAAGGGACUAUUGAUUGUAAAUUAAAGGAAGAAGGAGGCAAUAACAGGUCUGUGAUGCCCUUAGAUGUCUUGGGCUGCACGCGCGCUACAAUGAUGUGAAACAAUAAGCAGGAAACCCUUCCGGGAUUGAGCAGUCUCGGAAAACAGACAAUUCACGUCAUGAUUGGGAUCGAUUUUUGUAAUUAUUAGUCUUAAACGAGGAAUUCCUAGUAAUCGCAAGUCAUCAGCUUGCGUUGAUUACGUCCCUGCCCUUUGUACACACCGCCCGUCGCUCCUACCGAUUGGAUGAUCCGGUGAAGGCUUGAGAGGGAAGUGUUGGUGCUGGGGAAACCUAAGUGCCACGCUUUCCGAACUCGUCUAAAUCUUAUUAUCUAGAGGAAGGAGAAGUCGUAAC